GCCCACAAGGCCCAAGCCCUGAUCCCGCACUUCAGAACGCUUGGGAGGCUCAAUGGAGUCCUAGCAGGAGCCGGCAAGUUCAAAGAGCUCUGGCCUGUGACUCGCGCCCAGCCCCAUGUGAGCAGCACACAGAAUCUUUUGUGGCUCAACAGGGCCUCUCCUAAACCCCAUUCAGGUCAAUUGGAGUCUCCACUGACUUCAGUGGGCAUUGGAUCUGGCCCACAGUUUUACUACUACUACACCUUUAGGCCCCCCUGGGAUGCCAUUUCUGCUAAGAAGAAAUAACUGUAUUUUAAAUGGGAGCAUGAUGAAGUGAAGUACCUCCUUGGAAGCCAGAACUUCUGAAGUCUAGUUCUAGCUCUGAUAUGGUCUUGCUGAGUUGGUCUAAGCAAGAAACUUAAACCUAAAAAUUGUUUUUUAUCAAAAGUGGUCUCUAGAGUCCUGAUCCUGCAUCGUCAGUCAAUGGGAGCUUUGCCAUUUACUUCAGUGAGCGUAGGAUCAAGCCCUAAUUUGGGAUGCCAAACUCCUGAAACCCAAGACAAAAUUUCCUAAUACCCAACUACUGUUGACUUCACUUGGAGUUGUAGGGGAGCAGCACCUCUGAAAAUCAAGAGUAUCCAAAACUGAGGAAUUCAAAAUUUGUGGCCAUUUUUGCAAAUAUAGGCUUCAGCCUCUCUGUCUCUCAAUCUGUAAAACUGAGAUAAUACUAUACCUAGCUUACAGAGGUGUUGUCAGGAUUUAAUGUGUGUAUUGAAUAUGUAGUGCUGUAUAAUUGUGUAUUAAAAAAAUUCAAUGAUUUAUAUCCUCCCUCAGGGCUCAGUAUCUUACUCAUGGUGAGUAUCUCACCAUUCUUGUCAUGUCAAUGAAGGUGGGGUAGUUGAAAUAUGUGCAUCACAUAUUGCAAAAAAAUACUAACAUCAACACCAGUAUUGCCAUAUUAGUGAAAUGCUACAUAAGAAGUAAUGUCUUCUAGUGGAUAAGACCUUGUAUUUCCUGGCUCAGCCACUGACCAGUCCUGUGACCUUGGACAGAUCAUUUAAUCUUUCUGUACAUCUGUCCCUCCUUUGUCUUGUCUAGUUAGCGUGUAAGCUCUUCAGGGCAGGGACUGUCUCAAACUAUGUGUUUUUGCUUAGCAAAAUGGGACCCUCCUCUCACGUUGGCCUCUCGGAGCUAAUGGAAUACAAAUAAUUGCACAUUGUUGCAGUUUGUUAUUCCAUGAAUACAUAUAACUUCCUGACAGUGAAAUAUAUUAGGGUUGGAAGUUCCGUUGCUUGGGAUUUUAAAACUCAACUGGACAAAAUACUUUAGAGAACAAUCCUGCAUCAGUAAAGGGAUGGAAAGAAUUGUCUGAAAAGUCUUUUCUACUUUUAAGUUCUAUGAUUCAAUCCCAAGAAAAACUUCUUCCAAAGAGCCAUCAAUCCAUCCAGUAAUUCAGGCAACACUAUCCCAGUAAAGUUCUUGAAAGAAAUAAUAAUGUUAUAUUUAUGAAUUGAUAGAAUUAACAUGACAUAAACUUAAUUUCACCAAUCCCCCUUAACACGAUUCAGAUUUUGAGUAAUUCGCAGUGGUUGCUAAUGCUAUUUCUGCCACUUUUUGAUUUCUGGUCACUCUUGGUUUCUGAUGCUAAGCACUAUUGCUAAAGGAAAUGGGCUAACAAUCUGCUGUUGCCUAUACCUGUCUCAGAAGAAAGAGCACCAGAGAUUUUCAGAAGUUUUACAACAAUGGACUAUUGUAAUCGAAGCCAAAUAAAAAUUAAUUUAUAGUCAAAGAAGAAUGCCCUGGUUUUAGUCUCACAGCACUAUCAUGUGGCACGCUUGAAACUAACAAAGUACCUGGGAAAUAUCAAACUUUCUUUCUUUGCUGUACUUAUAUGCACUUAGCUAGCAAAUAUGCUUGCUAAAACAACAAUUAAAAAAAGGAAGGGCUACAUACAGUGAACAUCUGGAACAAUGAAAUGCUGGGCCUAAUCCUUCUCUUGUGGAAAUCUGUAUCAGCAAAUUCCCCUCAUGACUUGUUGCUUAAUUUAAACAUCCUUUUAAAAUAAUAAGGCCCAUAGGGACUUGUUUGAAUGUCACAUAACAGAGAGACAAAAUAAUAAUGUUUUACACCCUUCUCUUUAAGUUACACUACCAAACUUUUCACUUGUAAUUCACUGCUGGUAGAAUUGGAGAAGUAUGGCUUUGAAGAUUGCUGUUGUAGAUGUAGCCUUUAUUAAAGAACUUUUCAAAUAACUUUAUAAUAUUAUAUAAUUAAUAACUCACCUGCUACAUCCGUAUGAAGUAGGUGAGUGUUUUUCUCUUCAUUAGACAGAUGGGAAAACAGAGAGAGAGGUUAAGUGACUUACCCAAGGACACAGCGAAUCUGUGUCAGGACAGGGAAUGGAACUUGAGUUCUUGGUUCUCAUGGCCUGUGCCUAGACCACAUUUCUCAAUACCGUGUGUAUGCCCUUGUGUAUUUGGAUAGCUCAGAAUAGUUUCAAAAGGAAACAACUUGGGAGGUUAAGAAGAAGCAUUCCUUAUGGGCAUUUUAUUUCAUAAUUACUC